rnacentral:lncRNA from 1 species
AUCAGGGAAAGACCCAGAACAGAGCAGACGGGGAAGGCGGGGGGAAAAGACGAGGACUGGGCCAGGGUGGGACUUGGGUGCACGUGGGGUGCUAGAGGCCUGGCGGCACUGAGAACAGCCCUGUGCCCCUCGACGUGGGUACAGACGCCCGGGGGGGGGGGGGGGCCUUGGUGUCCCGGGGGGAAGGCGCAUCCCGGGACAGCCCCUCUGGCCCUCCCACAGCCCAGAGCCCUCAUCCUUCUGCCGGCGGGUCGCUGCCCCAGAGAGGAGAGGGCCUGGCACCCAGGCCUGGCCGCCGUGGACCGAGGACACCCCAGCCCGUGGACCCGGGAUACCCCAGCCCCAGAGGAAAGCGCCCGCCUGACACCUGGGCACAGUUCCAGCCCCAGGGGCCUCCCGAGAGUACGGCCAGCGGGUGCCGAGACCUGGGCGGGAGGAGCGCGGGGCCAGGACUCGGGCCUCCCACCCGAGAGCAGGUGUAGGCCCCGAGGCGGGUGUGGGCGGCCGGGCACCUCUAAGCCGCAGCCCCAGCCCCAGCCCGAGGCCAGCUAUGGCCUACAUGGCCUCCCACACACUCCUGGCUCGGAGCAGAGCGGGGAAGUGGGGCAGCAGCCUCCAGCCUCUCCCCGCGUGGGGUCCCCCAGGGAAGCCCGGCCCGCGGCAGCACCCUCGCCAGGAAGUCACCAGGGCGCCGGAGCCCAAGACCUGGGCCGCGCAGGUGCACGAGCCACGGAACCCUGGCGAUCCACCUGUGAAACCCGACGCACGCACGACCACAGGCCACGCACUCGCACAGCCCCCCCCGCCCCCUCCCCGUCAACACACGGCCACGUUCCCACACACCACCGUGCACCGCGCACACACACAGAGCCCCUGCACCCCCGCCCCGCCAACACACAGCCACAGUCCCACGCACGACCGUGCGCCCCACUGGACGCAGCUUCAAACAGUAAGGGAGCGUCUGGGCUCCCUGUGGCCUUAGGGCUCUUGGGCAUGUCCUGGAAACCAGAGGCGCUGCAGGGCCUGAUGGCAGCCGAGAGUGGGAGCCGCUGCGAAGGGACAAAAGGGACCCCGGGACCAUGUGUGGCCAGAGGGCAAAGCGGGGCUCGGGCGGCACUUGGGGGUGCCGCGGGGAGAGCGGGCUUUGGCAGGUGCGUGCCCGACCCACGGGGCAGCGACCUGGGCCCACCUGGGGCUGCAGGAGUCCUCCCAGGAGGAUGGUGGGAGAAAGGCUGCUCAGCCCGCAUCCUGGGAGGGGCGCUCCUCACCGCGACUAAACCACAGGUCGUGAAAGAUCAGAUUUUAAUACGUGUGACUGCACGAAAAAUGCUCUGA